ACAGAGUCAGCUGGCCAAUUGGCCUUUGCUGCCGUUGCCGUUAGCUUGCGUGUGUUGUCAUUGGCCACGUGAUGUGUCAUCAUCGGUCAUGAACUUCUAGGCGGAGCGUAGAGAGGCGGUGUAACAAAAUGGGAUAACAGAUUAAAGCCAACCUUUGACCCGUUGCUUCGGUUUGUCAGUACUGUGAGAAAACUUGAUUCCCGAAGAAGUCUGGAUGUUAAAACAAGCCUUGGAGCUGUUUUUCUGUCGAACACGAAUGAGACUGGACACUGAAUACACCUGCGGUGCAAAGGUGUCACCACUUCGUCCACCACGUAGUCCGCGAUUGCUGAGACAUGGUCCAUGAUCGGAGAGACAUUGUUGAGGAUGAGGGAGACAUCGUCCACGAUCAGAGACAUUGUCCAUGAUCGCAGAGACCUUGUCAAAGAUGAGAGAGACGUUGUCCAUGAUCAGAGACAUUGUCCCAUGCUUCGUAGAGACCUUGCGAUAGAAUCGGCGGAGACGGGGGUCACCGAUUUGACGGCAUUGCCCGCGAUCAUGGAGACAUUGUCAAUGAUCACAGAGACAGCAUCUAGGAUCUCAGAGACAUCGUCCACGAUCACAAAGACAUUGUCCAUGAUCACAGAGACUUUGUCCAUAAUCUCAGAGACAUUGUCCACGAUCACAGAGACGUAGUCCACGAUCACAGAGAGUCUUCAUACAGUGAAGUUCUUUGAGACCAGUACAGAGGCCUCCAGGUGUCACCACUUUGUCCACUAUGUAGUCCGCGAUCGCUGAGACAUGGUCCAUGAUCGGAGAGACAUUGUUGAGGAUGAGGGAGACAUCGUCCACGAUCAGAGACAUUGUCCAUGAUCGCAGAGACCUUGUCAAAGAUGAGAGAGACGUUGUCCAUGAUCAGAGACAUUGUCCCAUGCUUCGUAGAGACCUUGCGAUAGAAUCGGCGGAGACGGGGGUCACCGAUUUGACGGCAUUGCCCGCGAUCAUGGAGACAUUGUCAAUGAUCACAGAGACAGCGUCUAGGAUCUCAGAGACAUCGUCCACGAUCACAAAGACAUUGUCCAUGAUCACAGAGACUUUGUCCAUAAUCUCAGAGACAUUGUCCACGAUCACAGAGACGUAGUCCACGAUCACAGAGAGUCUUCAGUCUUCAUACAAUGAAGUUCUUUGAGACCAGUACAGAGGCCUCGAGGUGUCACCACUUCGUCCACUAUGUAGUCCGCGAUCGCUGAGACAUGGUCCAUGAUCGGAGAGACAUUGUUGAGGAUGAGGGAGACAUCGUCCACGAUCAGAGACAUUGUCCAUGAUCGCAGAGACCUUGUCAAAGAUGAGAGAGACGUUGUCCAUGAUCAGAGACAUUGUCCCAUGCUUCGUAGAGACCUUGCGAUAGAAUCGGCGGAGACGGGGGUCACCGAUUUGACGGCAUUGCCCGCGAUCAUGGAGACAUUGUCAAUGAUCACAGAGACAGCGUCUAGGAUCUCAGAGACAUCGUCCACGAUCUCAAUGACAUUGUCCAUGAUCACAGAGACUUUGUCCAUAAUCUCAGAGACAUUGUCCACGAUCACAGAGACGUAGUCCACGAUCACAGAGAGUCUUCAUACAAUGAAGUUCUUUGAGACCAGGACAGAGGCUU